GGCCGUAUCACGCUGGAACACUAGUUCCUGUAUGAUCACCGAAGUUAAGCAACGUCGAACCUGGUCAGUACCUAAAUGAGUGACCAGUUGGCAAUACCAGGUGCUGUAAG